rnacentral:rRNA from 1 species
CCCUUAGAUGUUCUGGGCUGCACGCGCGCUACACUGAUGCGCUCAACGAGUUUAUGACCUUGCCCGGAAGGGUUGGGUAAUCUUUUCAAAACGCAUCGUGAUGGGGAUAGAUUAUUGCAAUUAUUAAUCUUCAACGAGGAAUUCCUAGUAAGCGCGAGUCAUCAGCUCGUGCUGAUUACGUCCCUGCCCUUUGUACACACCGCCCGUCGCUCCUACCGAUUGAAUGCUCAGGUGAGCCAUUCGGACUUUCAUCAUGCUGGUUUCCAGUUUUGAUGAAGGAAAGUCUUGCGAACCUUAUCAUUUAGAGGAAGGAGAAGUCGUAACA